CACACUAUCAUUAACUGAAUCCAUAGGUUAAUGAGGCGAACCGGGGGAACUGAAACAUCUAAGUACCCCGAGGAAAAGAAAUCAACCGAGAUUCCCCCAGUAGCGGCGAGCGAACGGGGAGCAGCCCAGAGCCUGAAUCAGUGUGUGUGUUAGUGGAAGCGUCUGGAAAGGCGCGCGAUACAGGGUGACAGCCCCGUACACAAAAAUGCACAUGCUGUGAGCUCGAUGAGUAGGGCGGGACACGUGGUAUCCUGUCUGAAUAUGGGGGGACCAUCCUCCAAGGCUAAAUACUCCUGACUGACCGAUAGUGAACCAGUACCGUGAGGGAAAGGCGAAAAGAACCCCGGCGAGGGGAGUGAAAAAGAACCUGAAACCGUGUACGUACAAGCAGUGGGAGCACGCUUAGGCGUGUGACUGCGUACCUUUUGUAUAAUGGGUCAGCGACUUAUAUUCUGUAGCAAGGUUAACCGAAUAGGGGAGCCGAAGGGAAACCGAGUCUUAACUGGGCGUUAAGUUGCAGGGUAUAGACCCGAAACCCGGUGAUCUAGCCAUGGGCAGGUUGAAGGUUGGGUAACACUAACUGGAGGACCGAACCGACUAAUGUUGAAAAAUUAGCGGAUGACUUGUGGCUGGGGGUGAAAGGCCAAUCAAACCGGGAGAUAGCUGGUUCUCCCCGAAAGCUAUUUAGGUAGCGCCUCGUGAAUUCAUCUCCGGGGGUAGAGCACUGUUUCGGCAAGGGGGUCAUCCCGACUUACCAACCCGAUGCAAACUGCGAAUACCGGAGAAUGUUAUCACGGGAGACACACGGCGGGUGCUAACGUCCGUCGUGAAGAGGGAAACAACCCAGACCGCCAGCUAAGGUCCCAAAGUCAUGGUUAAGUGGGAAACGAUGUGGGAAGGCCCAGACAGCCAGGAUGUUGGCUUAGAAGCAGCCAUCAUUUAAAGAAAGCGUAAUAGCUCACUGGUCGAGUCGGCCUGCGCGGAAGAUGUAACGGGGCUAAACCAUGCACCGAAGCUGCGGCAGCGACACUAUGUGUUGUUGGGUAGGGGAGCGUUCUGUAAGCCUGUGAAGGUGUACUGUGAGGUAUGCUGGAGGUAUCAGAAGUGCGAAUGCUGACAUAAGUAACGAUAAAGCGGGUGAAAAGCCCGCUCGCCGGAAGACCAAGGGUUCCUGUCCAACGUUAAUCGGGGCAGGGUGAGUCGACCCCUAAGGCGAGGCCGAAAGGCGUAGUCGAUGGGAAACAGGUUAAUAUUCCUGUACUUGGUGUUACUGCGAAGGGGGGACGGAGAAGGCUAUGUUGGCCGGGCGACGGUUGUCCCGGUUUAAGCGUGUAGGCUGGUUUUCCAGGCAAAUCCGGAAAAUCAAGGCUGAGGCGUGAUGACGAGGCACUACGGUGCUGAAGCAACAAAUGCCCUGCUUCCAGGAAAAGCCUCUAAGCAUCAGGUAACAUCAAAUCGUACCCCAAACCGACACAGGUGGUCAGGUAGAGAAUACCAAGGCGCUUGAGAGAACUCGGGUGAAGGAACUAGGCAAAAUGGUGCCGUAACUUCGGGAGAAGGCACGCUGAUAUGUAGGUGAAGUCCCUCGCGGAUGGAGCUGAAAUCAGUCGAAGAUACCAGCUGGCUGCAACUGUUUAUUAAAAACACAGCACUGUGCAAACACGAAAGUGGACGUAUACGGUGUGACGCCUGCCCGGUGCCGGAAGGUUAAUUGAUGGGGUCAGCGCAAGCGAAGCUCUUGAUCGAAGCCCCGGUAAACGGCGGCCGUAACUAUAACGGUCCUAAGGUAGCGAAAUUCCUUGUCGGGUAAGUUCCGACCUGCACGAAUGGCGUAAUGAUGGCCAGGCUGUCUCCACCCGAGACUCAGUGAAAUUGAACUCGCUGUGAAGAUGCAGUGUACCCGCGGCAAGACGGAAAGACCCCGUGAACCUUUACUAUAGCUUGACACUGAACAUUGAGCCUUGAUGUGUAGGAUAGGUGGGAGGCUUUGAAGUGUGGACGCCAGUCUGCAUGGAGCCGACCUUGAAAUACCACCCUUUAAUGUUUGAUGUUCUAACGUGGACCCGUAAUCCGGGUUGCGGACAGUGUCUGGUGGGUAGUUUGACUGGGGCGGUCUCCUCCUAAAGAGUAACGGAGGAGCACGAAGGUUGGCUAAUCCUGGUCGGACAUCAGGAGGUUAGUGCAAUGGCAUAAGCCAGCUUGACUGCGAGCGUGACGGCGCGAGCAGGUGCGAAAGCAGGUCAUAGUGAUCCGGUGGUUCUGAAUGGAAGGGCCAUCGCUCAACGGAUAAAAGGUACUCCGGGGAUAACAGGCUGAUACCGCCCAAGAGUUCAUAUCGACGGCGGUGUUUGGCACCUCGAUGUCGGCUCAUCACAUCCUGGGGCUGAAGUAGGUCCCAAGGGUAUGGCUGUUCGCCAUUUAAAGUGGUACGCGAGCUGGGUUUAGAACGUCGUGAGACAGUUCGGUCCCUAUCUGCCGUGGGCGCUGGAGAACUGAGGGGGGCUGCUCCUAGUACGAGAGGACCGGAGUGGACGCAUCACUGGUGUUCGGGUUGUCAUGCCAAUGGCACUGCCCGGUAGCUAAAUGCGGAAGAGAUAAGUGCUGAAAGCAUCUAAGCACGAAACUUGCCCCGAGAUGAGUUCUCCCUGAC
rnacentral:rRNA from 1 species